GACGGAGGAUGCAAGCGUUAUCCGGAAUGAUUGGGCGUAAAGCGUCCGCAGGUGGCAGUUCAAGUCUGCUGUCAAAGACCGGGGCUUAACUUCGGAAAGGCAGUGGAAACUGAACAGCUAGAGUAUGGUAGGGGCAGAGGGAAUUCCUGGUGUAGCGGUGAAAUGCGUAGAGAUCAGGAAGAACAUCGGUGGCGAAGGCGCUCUGCUGGACCAUAACUGACAUUGAGGGACGAAAGCUAGGGGAGCGAAUGGG
rnacentral:rRNA from 1 species